ACGGAGGGUGCGAGCGUUGUUCGGAAUUACUGGGCGUAAAGCGCGUGUAGGCGGCCUUGCAAGUCAGGCGUGAAAGCCCUCGGCUUAACCGGGGAAGUGCGUCUGAAACUGCUUGGCUUGAGUACGGGAGAGGGAGGCGGAAUUCCCAGUGUAGAGGUGAAAUUCGUAGAUAUUGGGAGGAACACCGGUGGCGAAAGCGGCCUCCUGGACCGAUACUGACGCUGAGACGCGAAAGCGUGGGGAGCAAACAGGAUUAGAUACCCUGGUAGUCCACGCGGUAAACGAUGGGCACUAGGUGUGGGGGGUAUCCACUCCUCCCGUGCCGAAGCUAACGCAUUAAGUGCCCCGCCUGGGGAGUACGGCCGCAAGGUUA
rnacentral:rRNA from 1 species